rnacentral:rRNA from 1 species
CCUACGGGGGCUGCAGUGGGGAAUAUUGGACAAUGGGCGAAAGCCUGAUCCAGCCAUGCCGCGUGUGUGAAGAAGGCCUUCGGGUUGUAAAGCACUUUCAGUGGGGAAGAAAGCCUUGGGGCUAAUACCCUCGAGGAAGGACAUCACCCACAGAAGAAGCACCGGCUAACUCCGUGCCAGCAGCCGCGGUAAUACGGAGGGUGCGAGCGUUAAUCGGAAUUACUGGGCGUAAAGCGCGCGUAGGCGGUCUGAUAAGCCGGUUGUGAAAGCCCCGGGCUCAACCUGGGAACGGCAUCCGGAACUGUCAGGCUAGAGUGCAGGAGAGGAAGGUAGAAUUCCCGGUGUAGCGGUGAAAUGCGUAGAGAUCGGGAGGAAUACCAGUGGCGAAGGCGGCCUUCUGGACUGACACUGACGCUGAGGUGCGAAAGCGUGGGUAGCAAACCGGAUUAGAUACCCCAGUAGUC